AUGAAGAUGGAAGAUGACCAAGGGAAGAUGAGGAUGAAAAAGCUUAUACAAGAACUAAGAAAAUGCAUUGAAAAGGGAUGGACGCAUUGACCGUGCUGAAAGUGUCUGCAAGAAGCUGGUGGGUCGCUUCUCUCACAGCUGUAAGGCCAGAAGUGCUCUUGAAACAGCACAGAAUGAACUCAAUCUACCUUCACAUUCCCUCAUAUCAGAAUGCCAAACAAGAUGGGGUUCCAGCCAGAAGAUGAUCAGCAGGAUACUAGAGCAGCAGAAGGCUAUAACUCAGGUCCUGUCUGUCACAGCAUCAAAUUCUAACCUGGCAAGAUAUGGAUGUCCUGGAAUCUGUCAGUAAGUCACUGGGCCCACUGCUGGACUUUACAGAUGCAGUCUCAGGAGAAGACUAUGUUAGUGUCUCAUAUGUGAACCCAGUUCUUCACCUCUUCAACACUUCAAUGCUGCUAAUAUAAGAGGGACACAGACUUGACCAAGACCUUGAAAGCUGAGAUGUUGCACUACAUCAAUGAGAAAUAUAGAGAUGAAGCUACUCAGGAGCUGCUAGAUGCGGCUUCUUGUUUGGACCCCCGGUUCAAGAUGGACUUCAUCAGUGAAGA